UUACAAAAGACUAAGGCAAAUCC
rnacentral:piRNA from 1 species